rnacentral:rRNA from 1 species
UACGUGAGCCCCCAAGCGUUAUCCGGAAUUACUGGGCGUAAAGAGUGCGUAGGCGGUUAUGUUAGUCUUCUGUUUAAUCCUUCGGCUCAACCGGAGAACUGCAGAGGAAACGGCAUAACUGGAGCGUGUGAGAGGUGGGCGGAACUCAUGGUGUAGGGGUGAAAUCCGUUGAUAUCAUGGGGAACACCAAAUGCGAAGGCAGCUCACUGGCACAUUGCUGACGCUGAGGCACGAAAGCGUGGGUAGCGAAU